UACGGGGGGGGCUAGUGUUACUCAUCAUUACUGGGUGUAAAGCGUAUGUAGGCGGUUUAUUAAGUUUAAAUGAUGAUAAUCUAAGCAUAACUUAGAAAAUUUUUUUCAUACUGAUAAACUAGAGGUCAAAGGAGGAUAGCUAUAUUUCUGAAGUUUAGGGAUGAAAUCCAUAGAGGUCAGGGGGAUAACCAGCAGGCGAAGGCGGCUUUCCAUAAUGAUUCUGACGCUGAAGUUCUUAAGCGUGGGUCGCAAACGGG
rnacentral:rRNA from 1 species